CUACGGGUCGCACCAGUGGGGAAUAUUGGACAAUGGGCGCAAGCCUGAUCCAGCAAUGCCGCGUGAGUGAUGAAGGCCUUAGGGUUGUAAAGCUCUUUUACCAGGGAUGAUAAUGACAGUACCUGGAGAAUAAGCUCCGGCUAACUCCGUGCCAGCAGCCGCGGUAUACGGAGGGAGCUAGCGUUGUUCGGAAUUACUGGGCGUAAAGCGCGCGUAGGCGGUUACUCAAGUCAGAGGUGAAAGCCCGGGGCUCAACCCCGGAACUGCCUUUGAAACUAGGUGACUAGAAUCUUGGAGAGGUCAGUGGAAUUCCGAGUGUAGAGGUGAAAUUCGUAGAUAUUCGGAAGAACACCAGUGGCGAGGGCGACUGACUGGACAAGUAUUGACGCUGAGGUGCGAAAGCGUGGGGAGCAAACAGGAUUAGAUACCCCGGUAGUC
rnacentral:rRNA from 1 species